rnacentral:rRNA from 1 species
UGGGGAAUAUUGCACAAUGGAGGGAACUCUGAUGCAGCGACGCCGCGUGAACGAAGAAGGCUUUCGAGUCGUAAAGUUCUUUUAUAUGGGAAGAUAAUGACGGUACCAUAAGAAAAAGCCCCGGCUAACUACGUGCCAGCAGCCGCGGUAAUACGUAGGGGGCUAGCGUUGUCCGGAAUCACUGGGCGUAAAGGGUUCGCAGGCGGAAAUGCAAGUCAGGUGUAAAAGGCAGUAGCUUAACUACUGUAAGCAUUUGAAACUGCAUAUCUUGAGAAGAGUAGAGGUAAGUAGAAUUUUUAGUGUAGCAGUGAAAUGCGUAGAUAUUAAAAAGAAUACCGGUGGCGAAGGCGACUUACUGGGCUCAUUCUGACGCUGAGGAACGAAAGCGUGGGUAGCAAACAGG